AUUGAACGCUGGCGGCGUGCCUAACACAUGCAAGUCGAACGAUGAUGGAUGAGCUUGCUCAUCCUGAUUAGUGGGGCACGGGUGAGUAUACCAUAGAUAAUGUACCCCUUAGUUCGGGAUAGCCACUGGAAACGGUGCUUAAUACCGGAUACUCCUUCUUGCCAUAAGGUAAGUCGGGAAAGUUUUUUCGCUACGAGAUCAGUCUAUGUCCUAUCAGGUAGUUGGUGAGGUAACGGCUCACCAAGCCUAUGACGGGUAUCUGGUUUGAGAGGAUGAUCAGACACACUGGAACUGAGACACGGUCCAGACUCCUACGGGAGGCAGCAGUGAGGAAUAUUGCACAAUGGAGGAAACUCUGAUGCAGCAACGCCGCGUGGAGGAUGACGCAUUUCGGUGUGUAAACUCCUUUUAAGAGGGAAGAUUAUGACGGUACCUCUUGAAUAAGCACCGGCUAACUCCGUGCCAGCAGCCGCGGUAACAC
rnacentral:rRNA from 1 species